rnacentral:rRNA from 1 species
GACGAACGCUGGCGGCGUGCUUAACACAUGCAAGUCGAACGGAAAGGCCCUGCUUUUGUGGGGUGCUCGAGUGGCGAACGGGUGAGUAACACGUGAGUAACCUGCCCUUGACUUUGGGAUAACUUCAGGAAACUGGGGCUAAUACCGGAUAGGAGCUCCUGCUGCAUGGUGGGGGUUGGAAAGUUUCGGCGGUUGGGGAUGGACUCGCGGCUUAUCAGCUUGUUGGUGGGGUAGUGGCUUACCAAGGCUUUGACGGGUAGCCGGCCUGAGAGGGUGACCGGCCACAUUGGGACUGAGAUACGGCCCAGACGCCUACGGGAGGCAGCAGUGGAGAAUAUUGCACAAUGGGCGGAAGCCUGAUGCAGCAACGCCGCGUGCGGGAUGACGGCCUUCGGGUUGUAAACCGCUUUCGCCUGUGACGAAGCGUGAGUGACGGUAAUGGGUAAAGAAGCACCGGCUAACUACGUG